AUGGACGGUCUCCGGCAAGGCAUGGGAGGGAGCAGUGGGAGGCCCAUGGAGGUACGGCGGCCUGAGGGGGAGAAGAAGGAAGUGGGUAAUGGCCCGGUGGUUGGUGGCGACGGGGUCGCGCGGAUCCGACGCCGGGUAGGUGCGGGAGGACUGCGACCGGGCCCGCCCCUACGCGGAGCUCUGGAUGGGCAGGCACCCGGCCGCGCCCUCCGCCGUGCUCCCCGGCGGCGAGCUGCUCGGCGCCUGGCUCGCGCGCCACCCCGCCGCGCUCGGCCCCGCCGUCGCCGCGCGCUGGGCCGGCGACCUGCCGUUCCUCUACGGCACCCGCGCGUGAUUAAAUAA
rnacentral:rRNA from 1 species